UACGUAGGGUGCAAGCGUUGUCCGGAAUUAUUGGGCGUAAAGAGCUCGUAGGCGGCUUGUCACGUCGUCUGUGAAAACCCGGGGCUCAACUCCGGGCCUGCAGUCGAUACGGGCUGGCUUGAGUGCGGUAGGGGAGACUGGAAUUCCUGGUGUAGCGGUGAAAUGCGCAGAUAUCAGGAGGAACACCGGUGGCGAAGGCGGGUCUCUGGGCCGUAACUGACGCUGAGGAGCGAAAGCGUGGGGAGCGAACAGG
rnacentral:rRNA from 1 species